rnacentral:rRNA from 1 species
GCAUAACGCGAAGAACCUUACCUGGCCUUGACAUUGAUAGAAUCUGCUAGAGAUAGCGGAGUGCCCUUCGGGGAGCUUGAAAACAGGUGCUGCACGGCUGUCGUCAGCUCGUGUCGUGAGAUGUUGGGUUAAGUCCCGCAACGAGCGCAACCCUCGUCACUAGUUACUAACGGUUCGGCCGAGGACUCUAGUGAGACUGCCUUCGUAAGGAGGAGGAAGGUGAGGACGACGUCAAGUCAUCAUGGCCCUUACGGCCAGGGCGACACACGUGCUACAAUGGGAUGUACAAUGAGACGCAAUACCGCGAGGUGGAGCAAGUCUAUAAAACAUCUCUCAGUUCGGAUUGUAGUCUGCAACUCGACUACAUGAAGCUGGAAUCACUAGUAAUCGUAGAUCAGCCAUGCUACGGUGAAUACGUUCCCGGGUCUUGUACACACCG